AUUGAACGCUGGCGGCAGGCUUAACACAUGCAAGUCGAGCGGGGUGAUGGUGCUUGCACUAUCACUUAGCGGCGGACGGGUGAGUAAUGCUUAGGAAUCUGCCUAUUAGUGGGGGACAACAUCUCGAAAGGGAUGCUAAUACCGCAUACGUCCUACGGGAGAAAGCAGGGGAUCACUUGUGACCUUGCGCUAAUAGAUGAGCCUAAGUCGGAUUAGCUAGUUGGUGGGGUAAAGGCCUACCAAGGCGACGAUCUGUAGCGGGUCUGAGAGGAUGAUCCGCCACCCUGGGACGGAGACACGGCCCAGAAUCCUACGGGAGGGAGCAGUGGGGAAUGUUGGACACUGGGGGGAACCCUGAUCCAGCCAUGCCGCGUGUGUGAAGAAGGCCUUAUGGUUGUAAAGCACUUUAAGCGAGGAGGAGGCUACUCUAGUUAAUACCUAGGGAUAGUGGACGUUACUCGCAGAAUAAGCACCGGCUAACUCUGUGCCAGCAGGCGCCGUAA
rnacentral:rRNA from 1 species